AACGAACGCUGGCGGUAGGCCUAACACAUGCAAGUCGAGCGGCAACACCGUAACAGGUUGCUCUUGCGGGAGGCGCGUGGCGGAAGGGUGACGUAUACAUCGGAUACUACUUUUUCGUGGGGGGUAACGUAGGGAGACUUACGCUAGUACCGCAUACGACCUACGGGUGACAGCAGGGGAUCUUCUGACCUUGCGCGAUGGUAUGGGCCGAUGUCGGAUUAGCUAGUUGGCGGGUUAAAGGCCUAGCAAGGCGACGAUGGGUAGCGGGUCCGAGAGAAUGUUUCGCCACAUGGGAACUGAGACAGGGCCCAGACUCCUACGGGAGGACGCAGUGGGGAAUAUUGGACAAUGGGGGAAAGCCUGAUCCAGCCAUACCGCGUGAGUGCAGAAGGACCUCGGGUUGUAAAGCCCUGUUGUUGGGAAAGAAAAGCAGCAGUUUAAGCCGCGGCGGUACUGACGGUACCAAAAGAGGAAGCACCGGCUAACUUCGUG
rnacentral:rRNA from 1 species